CAAUGCGAUCCCUUACAUUCCUAUGUAUUUUGGACAUUAUUUUUGAGACAUUUUGUAAGGAGUUGACUCAGCUUUUGGACACACUUGAUGAGUGGCCCGCUUUUAUUUCAGAAUUAGAAGAUUUUAACACUUUAAAGUAUAGCUUUUCUCGUUUUUCCAUAUCUUUUAUUCUACGUUUAAACAAUGUCGGUGCUGAUUGUCUCGCCAAAAAGGCAAGAGCACAAGAUUCUAUCUUUUCCCAUGUAAGCUUAUUUACUCCAGACUGAUUUUCUCCUAAAAAACCCGCCCAUUUGUAAUUUAAAUGCAUGAACUUAUUUUGCUGUCAAAAAAAGGAAG
rnacentral:sRNA from 1 species